CUCCCUGUGGCUCAGUUGGUAGAGCAUGGUGUGUGCAAUGCCAGGGUUGUGGGUUUGAUUCCCACAGGGGGC
rnacentral:tRNA from 1 species